UACAGUGGUGCCCCGCAAGACGAAUGCCUCGCAAGACGAAAAACUCGCUAAACGAAAGAGUUUUCCGUUUUUUGAGUCGUUCCGCAAGACGAAUUUCCCUAUGGGCUUGCUUCGCAAGACGAAACGUCUUGCGAGUUUGUUUCCUUUUUCUUAAAGCCGCUAAGCCGUUAAUAGCCGCUAAGCCGUUAAUAGCCGCUAAGCCACUAAUAGCCGCUAAGCCGCUAAUAGCCGUGCUUCGCAAGACGAAAAAACCGCAAGACGAAGAGACUCGC